UGCCAGCAGCCGCGGUAAUACGUAGGGUGCAAGCGUUAAUCGGAAUUACUGGGCGUAAAGCGUGCGCAGGCGGUUCGGAAAGAAAGAUGUGAAAUCCCAGGGCUUAACCUUGGAACUGCAUUUUUAACUACCGGGCUAGAGUAUGUCAGAGGGGGGUAGAAUUCCACGUGUAGCAGUGAAAUGCGUAGAGAUGUGGAGGAAUACCGAUGGCGAAGGCAGCCCCCUGGGAUAAUACUGACGCUCAUGCACGAAAGCGUGGGGAGCAAACAGGAUUAGAUACCCUGGUAGUCCACGCCCUAAACGAUGUCAACUAGCUGUUGGGGUUUAUUAACCUUAGUAGCGCAGCUAACGCGUGAAGUUGACCGCCUGGGGAGUACGGUCGCAAGAUUAAAACUCAAAGGAAUUGACGGGGGCCCGU
rnacentral:rRNA from 1 species